rnacentral:lncRNA from 1 species
AGUCAUAUGGGUGUUAAGUCUAUGGGUUUGGAAUCUGUCACUGAAAUCACUCAUUCAAAAGUAUGACUUCAUAGUAGGGUCACUUAGGUUUGUUUUUUACAUAAAAUACAUCUGAUAUUUCUUACUUAGGAAGUUUUACUAUGUCCAUUAAAAUGAUUAAAUGGGGAGGCCAUCAAGAUUCAUUUAGUAGCUGAAAAGCAGUUUUUAAAAUAGACUAGGAUGAAUUUAAUAGGGGCUGUUGUGACCUUCAGGGGAAUUUUUUAUAGACAGCCUCCAUACUGUAAUUGGGGAAAUUUUUGUCUUUUACUUCCAUUCAAUAGUAGCAAACUGGUGGUUUUAUAAAAUUAACAUAGUGUGUUAUAUAAACAUGCCCUUUACUGAUAUUUAACACAUUUUUCUCAAAGCCUUUUUCUUUUCUUUCCUUUUUUUUUUUAAACAAAAAUCAAAAUAAAAAGAUUAACUGGC